UCUAGCCAGACGCCGAGCAGCACUGCCGAGGAAGGGGCAAGCGGAGGGAAAUGGGCCCACAAAGAGGCUGAGAAGGAGCAGCCCAGAGAGGCAGGAAGGAAGCAAUGCCGCCUCUUCCAGGAAGGCCUCCUGACCAGCCCCUCUUACCAAAAGACAAGGGCAGGUCCUGGCUAAAGAACUCACACGUGCUCCCCAUGACGUAAAUUCUGGGAGACUCAUCAGUUUCACGAGGUGAUUAAAGUGAAGAUAAAGGGGUACCAGACAAAGAGACAAGUCAUCAUCUAUGGAGAGAGUGGGUGUUUUGCGGUUGCCCAGUGAUAUUGACUGAAGCGGAUGUUACGUAAGAUUGUUUGCAUCCUGCGGCGGACCGUCCUGACGUGGUGGUGAGCAUCACAUCCGUUCCGUGUAUCCUCUCCCACCAGGUGUGGCCUGCCUCUCCCGCUGCCUCCCUCCCCCUGCAGCAGGGUCCUGCGUGGGAUGCAGGGUCCGCCCGUCCAGGAACGCCUGCAGCAGAUCUUGACAUGAGGGGAAAAUAACUUGGAUCACGCCAGACUCUGCAGUGGGCGUUUACCUAUCACGGUACCACCUGAAGUCACCCCCCGUCUGUGCUGUACUCGCUCAGCCCUUGUCCUACCGUGACCCUCCUGGCCCCUUCUCUUCUUCAGGAUACACGCGCCCCAUCCCCCGGGGCCUUCUCCCCCUCCGGCAGUCCUCUGGGGUGUUCUCAGUGGCAGGCAAACCUGCUUCUGCUGUGCGUGCUGGGUGUGCCAGCAGGGGAGGUUCCCGCCAGCUGCCCAGCUUCACCUCCCCACACCCCAGCCCCGUAGCCCCAAAUUCGGGGGAUCCUGUCCUGUUCCACCAUGCUCCAGCUCUGUCCCAUGGAGGUUCUGAGAUGUCUUAAAAUAAUAGACUUCAUUAUUAUUCAGGCACGGUGAGGUCAAAGGAUCGGAAGGCUACUGUCUCAACAAGAUGGUUUGCCAUGCUCACGGGUUCCAAGGGCAGGGGGCACCGUCUCCUCCUGGCUUGCAGUUGACUGCCCUUCUAGCUGUGUCCUCACGAGGGAGACAGAGUCAGAGACAGAGACACAGGGUGGGGGGCACUCUGGCGUGCUUUCCUCUUCCUACCAGGUCACUAAUCCCCACGUGAGGGCUCCACCCUCACGACUUAAUCACCUCCCAAAGGCCCCACCUCCUAAUACAAUGGUACAUUGGGAGUCAGGGCUUCAGCAUGUGAUCUGGGGGUUGAGGGGUGGGAGCACAUUCAGUCCACAGCACCCUACAAGAAAGGAACGCCCGCUCUCUUCUGCAAAGUACGUUUGCAAGAACCCCACCCUCUUAUGAGUCCCUUACCUCAAGACGGGUGAUGGGGUAAUUGUGCCACUCUAACUGU